UCCGAGUUGACCCCGGCAGUCUCCCACGAGUCCCCGGCCGAACCGCUGGCAACAUAGGAUAAGGGUUGCGCUCGUUGCGGGACUUAACCCAACAUCUCACGACACGAGCUGACGACAGCCAUGCACCACCUGUACACCAACCACAAGGGAAACCCCAUCUCUGAGGCAAUCUGGCGCAUGUCAAGCCCAGGUAAGGUUCUUCGCGUUGCAUCGAAUUAAUCCACAUGCUCCGCCGCUUGUGCGGGCCCCCGUCAAUUCCUUUGGGUUUUAGCCUUGCGGCCGUACUCCCCAGGCGGGGCGCUUAAUGCGUUAGCUACGGCACGGAACACAAAACGCGUCCCACACCUAGCGCCCACCGUUUACGGCGUGGACUAC
rnacentral:misc_RNA from 1 species